GAUGAACGCUGGCGGCGUGCCUAAUACAUGCAAGUCGAGCGAACAGACGAGGAGCUUGCUCCUCUGACGUUAGCGGCGGACGGGUGAGUAACACGUGGAUAACCUACCUAUAAGACUGGGAUAACUUCGGGAAACCGGAGCUAAUACCGGAUAAUAUAUUGAACCGCAUGGUUCAAUAGUGAAAGACGGUUUUGCUGUCACUUCUAGAUGGAUCCGCGCCGCAUUAGCUAGUUGGUAAGGUAACGGCUUACCAAGGCAACGAUGCGUAGCCGAACUGAGAGGGUGAUCGGCCACACUGGAACUGAGACACGGUCCAGACUCCUACGGGAGGCAGCAGUAGGGAAUCUUCCGCAAUGGGCGAAAGCCUGACGGAGCAACGCCGCGUGAGUGAUGAAGGUCUUCGGAUCGUAAAACUCUGUUAUUAGGGAAGAACAAAUGUGUAAGUAACUAUGCACGUCUUGACGGUACCGAAUCAGAAAGCCACGGCUAACUACGUG
rnacentral:rRNA from 1 species